rnacentral:ncRNA from 1 species
GCGGCUUAAUUUAACUCAACAUAGGGAAACCUCAGAUGGCCCGGACACGGAAAGGAUUGACAGAUUGAUAGCUCUUUCAUGAUUCUAUGGGUUGUGGUGGUGGGGCCGUUCUUGGUGGAGUCCCAGGGGCGCCCACCGCCGCACAGCCGGUGUGCGUGCAAGCAGAGGGUGGAAAACGACAAAGUCCACAGCUAGUCUACCAGAGGCACGAAACCCCCAGGGGCACAUAACUCCUGCCAGCGUAUAUGUAUGGUGUAUAACCCAGGGGAGGGUGCGUAAGAGUGUGUACACAGGUUCGGCUGGUGGUGCAUGGCCGUUCUUAGUUGGUGGAGCGAUUUGUCUGGUUAAUUCCGAUAACGAACAAGACUCCGGCAUGCUAACUAGUUCUAGCGUUUGGCCCCGGAUAACCGGCCUCGGUCGGUGUGUAGAGCGUUUGUGACAGGGCUGGGGCGCGGCCGGAAGAUGGUCUCCCCUCUCCUAUCUCGCACCACAUGUUCGUGGAGAACCUGGUGCUAAAUCACUUGCAGACAGACGACCUGAUUCUGGGUGUCGUACCUAGCAGAGCAGCUUCCUCGCUGCGAUCUAUUGAAAGUCAGCCCUUGAUCCAAGCUUUGGUCGGCCACGGCCCCGGAGUCCCAGAGGCGCACAC